GAUGAACGCUGGCGGCGUGCCUAAUACAUGCAAGUCGAGCGAACGGACGAGAAGCUUGCUUCUCUGAUGUUAGCGGCGGACGGGUGAGUAACACGUGGAUAACCUACCUAUAAGACUGGGAUAACUUCGGGAAACCGGAGCUAAUACCGGAUGAUAUUUUGAACCGCAUGGUUCAAAAGUGAAAGACGGUCUUGCUGUCACUUAUAGAUGGAUCCGCGCUGCAUUAGCUAGUUGGUAAGGUAACGGCUUACCAAGGCAACGAUGCAUAGCCGACCUGAGAGGGUGAGCGGCCACACUGGAACUGAGACACGGUCCAGACUCCUACGGGAGGCAGCAGUAGGGAAUAUUCCGCAAUGGGCGAAAGCCUGACGGAGCAACGCCGCGUGAGUGAUGAAGGUCUUCGGAUCGUAAAACUCUGUUAUUAGGGAAGAACAUAUGUGUAAGUAACUGUGCACAUCUUGACGGUACCUAAUCAGAAAGCCACGGCUAACUACGUG
rnacentral:rRNA from 1 species